rnacentral:piRNA from 1 species
GUAUGCUAUUAUUUCUAUGAUGUUUGGCCU